rnacentral:lncRNA from 1 species
GCGUUUCGCAUUUGCCCCUUGGCCCUGGUCUCUCGGUCUUGCUGCCUUCAGGCUUUAACUCCUCAUAGCUCCCUGUAGAUCAACCUCAUUCCUGCCUCUGGGGCUUUGUGAUGUCAGGUGUCCUCCUGGGAAUGCUCCUCUCCCCACACCCCACCAUGUAAGACCCCUCCCAGGACAUUGCUGCUGGCCUUCCUGGCACGUCCCAGCACUGCCCUGUGCUUCGUGUGGCUUGCUGGCUGCCCUGUGCCCAGGUGGCUUAGGACCUGGCCCCUGCAGGGCAGUGUUCUCUGUCCCACCUGGGUGGGGGCCAUGAAUGCCCCAUGCUCUGGGCUCAGCUGGAGAGCUCAGUGCAGACUGCUGACUCAUGAAGACAAGAAGGAAACAAGAUGAGAAAACCCAGAGAGGAGGUGGCCGAGCCUCCUGAAGGCCCCGAAGUCCCAGUGGGGGUUGCUGUUGAACCGGUGCUGCUUCUGGUACACGCGGUAGUGACUGGCUGGGCGAUCUGGGGAGCGAGCCGGGGCUGGGCUGGGUCCCAGAGGCCUCCCCAGCCCCAGCCUGGGGCAGCCCACAUCCGGAGAGCUCAGCAUCCUGUGCUCACAAGAGUGAGUGCUGAGACACAGUUCCCCUCUCAUGUACGUAACGUGCCCUUAGUAAUCAUGCUGCCAGGCAUCACUCUUCUUCCCUCUGCCCACAGAGAGGGCACACUCUGAGCAGGGGGCACCAGGCCUGACGCCCCUCUGUGGGUGAGGCCAGCCUGAUGCCCUGGGACUCUCAGAGCAGGGACGUGUUCAACUGUGUACCCCUGGAAGGCAGCACAGUAUGGGCAUGCAGCAGGUACUCAAUACAUGCUAUGGGAUGGCUGAGAGAAUGAGCAGCUAAGGAGGUGGAUGGGGCUGCCAUACAGGCAGGCGCCACCUGGUUGUUCCUGCUGCACAAGGAGGCCUUACCUGUGUGCAGGUGUCAGUUCUUCUUCCUGAGCCCCCCAGCCCCGCAUGAUGGGGCUCUGAUCUUACCUCCCUCACAGGGGGGAGAAGGGGGAACGCAACUGUGUUCACUGGCAGAGGUAAAUAUCAAGGUGAAGAGAGGGUGGAGGUUGCCCCAGUUCCCAGCGGUUUGUGGAAGAGCUGGGCCUAGAAACCAGGGCACACAUGUCCAGUGUGGAGCUCGCUUUCCAGGGUGUGUUCCCCUCUUUGAUACUCAUUGCCUUGGCACGCGUCUCGGGGAGGUACAUCAGUGGUUACGUGACACGUGGAACGAAACACUUCAUUGACUUCUACCUGGGCCAAGUGGCCAUUCUGUGUAAAUCUGAAAAGCACGGACUGUGCCACACACCCAGCGAUCUGGCCAAAAGCAAGGAUGCUGCCUACAUUCCAAAUGCCAGAGACUGAAGCCUCAUCCUCCCCAAAGGGAGGACCUCGAUCUGGAGCCUUCAGUGUGUUGUUCCGUACAGGGCAUUCUCUGUACUAAUCUGUCAUGGUUAUAAGACAGCCACACAGGUUACAUUUAUAUUUAGUUUCUAUUCCAUACCUCUCUGCCCCAUGUUUUUUCUCCUCAAAAUCCAUUCCCCCCAAGGCACAGAAGUCUGACACCUCCACGGGCUGCAGGAGUCUCAGAAUGCUGGAGCUGAAACAUCUGCUCAAGAUAUGGAAUGAAGGCCCCCAGGGAAGUGACCGAACAGGCUGAGAGCAGGGGACAGCACCGGCCUGUGCCCCGCUACUUUGAAGGCACGGAGGCAAUCCACCCGGACAAAGGACUGAACUCCAAGCAGACAGCCAGUGAAGGUGCCCGGCUUGCAGGGCAGCACCUGGAUGCUCCCUCCCGUCACUCCCCUCAAGUCUUCCUCUCCUUGAUGCUGCAGGGCAUUACCUGGGGCUGGCAGUCCUCAGCACCAUCACUCUCGUCGCUCUGCAGGCCCCUCUCGUCGGAGGACUCAUGUCGUGCCUGGCAGAUGCAGGAGCCGUCUGACUUCUGGAAGACCCUGUUCAGGCCCCAACAUGUGCAGUGGGAGGCACCUGGGGACAGAGAAGCCCUGUCGUCUGUCACAGGCACCUGGCAGUGAGCCAGAACCUGAGUGAACCCUCCGUCCCUGUCCACAGGGCGCCUGUGGUCCAGGGGGCAAGCAGACGCCCACUGUCCCCAAAGUUGGGGCUGAGACGGUCUUUGUGAGGAUUGGGUGGGAUCUUCUAAAUCAGUCAUUCUCAACCCUGACUUGCACUGCAUUCAUCUGAGAAGCUUUUAAAAAACAUUGCUGUUCAGAUGCCCUUCAGGCCAAUUAAGCAAAGAUCUCUGAGGUGAGGCCAGGGCAUCUCCUUUCUGACAGUCCCUUGAGCACUGCAAUGUGCGGCUGGGGCUGAGCACUGCUGACGCCGUGGAAAGCACUUGACGUCCUGUGGAAGGCGUUGUUCCUUCCACGAUCACGCAAAGCCACGUGGGGUCGGUCCCGAAGGACUGGCACAGGCCUCUGUCUCUGGACAAGAGGAGAGAUCCGCAGAGCCUGAAGGCCGCUCAAGAGGCCUGAAGGAUGGAUGGGAUUAGAAGGGCAGAGCUGGGAGCACAGGAAUUCUCAGCAGGGAAGGUGACAGCUACCCGUGGUGAGCCGUGGUCCGGAAGCAGACGAUCCUCCUCCUGACGUAUUGUCAGAAGGUCAGUAGCAGCCUAACUACAUCACAAUGCCUGUGUCGUUCGCCUCUCUUCACCUCCUCACGCAGGCACUGGAUCAUCUCACAUCAUCGCAAGAGGAAGAAGGAUGGUAAGAAGCCUAAUCAGAACACAAGCCUGAGGAGGAUGUUGGCUUAUUUCAGCAUUCGACCCACAGGUGAUCAAGGGGCUGAACUGUGUUAUGGACUGAAUUGUGUUACCCCCUAAAAGUUUGUGUUGAAGUCCUAACCCCCAGUAUCUUAGAAUGUGACUGUAUUUGGAGAUAGGUCCUUUAAAGAGGUGAUUAACUUAAAAUGAGGCCUUUAGGGUGGGCCCUAACUCAAUCUGACUGGUGUACCUAUAAGAAGAGAAAAAUUGGACACACGAAGAGACCCCAGCGAUGCUUGCACACAGUGGAAAGACCAUGUAAGGACACAGCAAGAGGACGGCCAUCUGUAAGCUAGGAGAGAGGUCUCAAAAGAAACCAAACCUGCUGACACCUUUAUCUUGGACUUCUAGCCUCCAGAACUGUGAGAAAAUAAAUCUCUAUUGGUUAAGGCACCUAGACUAUGGUAUUCUGUUAUGGCAGCCCAAGGGUUCUAUGUCACAGAGAAUGGCUGCAACAAUUUUAUCCUGAAAACAUUUUAAGUAGCUACCUAAAGGUCAUCUCACAAAAA